rnacentral:rRNA from 1 species
UAGGGAAUCUUGCACAAUGGGCGAAAGCCUGAUGCAGCCAUGCCGCGUGAAUGAUGAAGGCCCUAGGGUUGUAAAAUUCUUUCGCCAGGGAUGAUAAUGACAGUACCUGGUAAAGAAGCACCGGCUAACUUCGUGCCAGCAGCCGCGGUAAUACGAAGGGUGCUAGCGUUGUUCGGAAUUACUGGGCGUAAAGCGUGCGUAGGCGGACUUUUAAGCCAGAUGUGAAAUCCCGAGGCUCAACCUCGGAACUGCAUUUGGAACUGGAAGUCUAGAGACCAGGAGAGGUUAGCGGAAUACCGAGUGUAGAGGUGAAAUUCGUAGAUAUUCGGUGGAACACCAGUGGCGAAGGCGGCUAACUGGACUGGUACUGACGCUGAGGCACGAAAGUGUGGGGAGCAAACAGGAUUAGAUACCCGUGUAGUCC